rnacentral:rRNA from 1 species
GACGAACGCUGGCGGCGUGCCUAAUACAUGCAAGUCGAACGAGAGCGACCGGUGCUUGCACUGGUCAAUCUAGUGGCGAACGGGUGAGUAACACGUGGGUAACCUGCCCAUCAGAGGGGGAUAACAUCCGGAAACGGAUGCUAAAACCGCAUAGGUCUUCGAGCCGCAUGGCUUGAAGAGGAAAAGAGGCGCGAGCUUCUGCUGAUGGAUGGACCCGCGGUGCAUUAGCUAGUUGGUGAGGUAACGGCUCACCAAGGCCGUGAUGCAUAGCCGACCUGAGAGGGUGAUCGGCCACAUUGGGACUGAGACACGGCCCAAACUCCUACGGGAGGCAGCAGUAGGGAAUCUUCCGCAAUGGACGCAAGUCUGACGGAGCAACGCCGCGUGAGUGAAGAAGGUUUUCGGAUCGUAAAACUCUGUUGUUAGAGAAGAACAAGUGCUAGAGUAACUGUUAGCGCCUUGACGGUAUCUAACCAGAAAGCCACGGCUAACUACGUG